UACGUAGGGCGCAAGCGUUGUCCGGAAUUAUUGGGCGUAAAGAGCUCGUAGGUGGCGUGUCGCGUCUGCCGUGAAAGCCCAUGGCUUAACUGUGGGUCUGCGGUGGAUACGGGCAGGCUGGAGGCUGGUAGGGGCAAGCGGAAUUCCUGGUGUAGCGGUGAAAUGCGCAGAUAUCAGGAGGAACACCGGUGGCGAGGGCGGCUUGCUGGGCCAGUUCUGACGCUGAGGAGCGAAAGCGUGGGGAGCGAACAGG
rnacentral:rRNA from 1 species